CUACGGGGUGCAGCAGGCGCGCAAACUUUACAAUGCGAGCAAUCGUGAUAAGGAAACCCUGAGUGCCUGUCGAUGCAGGCUGUUCAUAUAUCUAAAUCAUAUGUGAAGAAAGGGCAGGGCAAGACCGGUGCCAGCCGCCGCGGUAAUACCGGCUGCUCGAGUGAUGGCCACUAUUACUGGGUUUAAAGCGUCCGUAGCUUGACUGUUAGGUCUCUUGGGAAAUCUUCACGCUCAACGUGAAGGCGUCUAAGAGAUACCGGCAGUCUUGGAACUGGGAGAGGUAAACCGUACUUCGGGGGUAGGAGUGAAAUCUUGUAAUCCUCGAGGGACGACCUAUGGCGAAGGCAGUUUACCAGAACAGCUUCGACAGUGAGGGACGAAAGCUGGGGGAGCAAACGGGAUUAGAUACCCCGGUAGUCCCAGCCGUAAACAAUGUGCGUUAGGUGUGUCGGUAACCACGUGUUACUGAUGCGCCGAAGAGAAAUCGUGAAACGCACCACCUGGGAAGUACGGUCACAAGGCUGAAACUUAAAGGAAUUGGCGGGGGAGCACCACAACAGGUGGAGCCUGCGGUUUAAUUGGAUUCAACGCCGGACAUCUCACCGGAUAAGACAGCUGAAUGAUUGUCAAUCUGAAGGUUUUACAUGACUAGCUGAGAGGNNGUGCAUG
rnacentral:rRNA from 1 species